AACGUAGGACGCAAGCGUUAUCCGGAGUUACUGGGCGUAAAGGGCGCGUAGGCGGCAUGACAAGUCACUUGUGAAAUCUCCGGGCUUAACUCGGAACGGUCAAGUGAUACUGUCGCGCUAGAGUGCGGAAGGGGCAAUCAGAAUUCUUGGUGUAGCGGUGAAAUGCGUAGAUAUCAAGAGGAAUACCUGAGGUGAAGACGGGUUGCUAGGCCGACACUGACGCUGAAGCGCGAAAGCCAGGGGAGCAAACGGG
rnacentral:rRNA from 1 species